rfam:Colletotrichum chlorophyti strain NTL11 CCHL11_scaffold27, whole genome shotgun sequence.
GGUUCGAUGGUGUAGUUGGUUAUCACGUCAGUCUAACACACUGAAGGUCUCCGGUUCAAGUCCGGGUCGAAUCA